AGGUUCGUUUUGGGGCGGGGGCGGCAGCGCCAGGAGUUGUCCCAGGACGGGGAGAGUGAAGCGGGAGCACGAACCGGGGCUGCCCGGGGGUCGCUCCCGUGUGAGUCCCCCGUGUGACAGUCCCGGCCCCGCUGUCCCUGCCCCGGCUGCGGUGCCGCCGAACGGACACGAGAUGGCGCUGCGCUCUGCAGGGCCGCGCGGUGUCCGCCAGGCGGCGCCAUCCCGGGCUGGGGGGGGGGCGGGACCGAGGGAGGGGGCGGUGCCGAGAUCGGAGGGGGCGUGGCCAACCCGCUCGGCCGCGCCCCGAGCGCAGCUGAGCCCGCCGCGGGGACGCGGUGGCCGGUUCUGAUUGGGUCGGUGCUGGUGCCGCGUUUGUUCGGUGCGUUCCCCUGUGUGUCUGGUUGGUGUUGGUGCCUCGGUUGUUUCACGGCAGCGCAGCCGAGCCCGCAGCGAGGACGUGCUGGACACGGACGGGGCGUGAAGCUCCAGCUCCAGCCUGUGCAGCUUCAAGCCUGUUUGCGGUUCCAGCUCCACUGCAGCUGCUUCUGGUUCCAGUUGUUCUGCAGCUCCAGCUCCAGUUCAGCUCAUUUCAGCUUGUGCUUGUUCCACUGAGCUUGGCCUUGGGCCAGAUCGUAAAUCAAUCACUGUCACAAGCUGCCUAGGAAUAUGACACAUGAAUAAAUAUGAACCAAAUAUCUAAUAA